AUGGGCUGCCAAAGCCACGAGGGGCACGGGUAUGACAUGCCAGCCAUGCGUCUCAGUACCACAGGGAGUUGGCCCAGCGCCGGCCCCUCCUGCGCCCCAGGCCACGGGCCACUCGUCACUAGUGCAGGACCUCAGCUGCCCCUGCCCUGCUCCCCGACCCUGAACGGGGACCUUUCUCGGGCUGCCAGGCCUCAGGGUGCUGGACGUCUGGGCCGGGGCCAUCAAGGGCCUGCCCCGCCCCCCCCGACCCCCUGGGCCUGCCCCAGCAUCUCCAGGUUGGCCCCAGAGCUGUCCCUGUGGGCCGGCACACGGCAGGACACAGUGACGUGCGUGGACAGGGUCUGGCGUGAGGCGCUGAGGAGGACAAGGCGUCGGUUGGGAGCAGCCCCCGUCAGAGCCACGCGACGCUGCUCAGGUUGGGCCAGAACGGGCGUCACAUCGAGGAGCAGCUGGGGCGGAAGACGGGGACGCCGCCGGUGCUCUGCAGGGAGUUUAUGGGGACGGCGCUCGAAGAGGUUAGCAGUCUGCAGACGGAUCACCGCUUUAAGAAGGGCGAGACGGCGCCGGAGACCUCAUGACCUCAGGGGUCAUGAGGGUCCCGUGUGGCAAGUGGCCUGGGCCCACCCCAUGUACGGCAAUAUCCUGGCAUCCUGCUCCUACGACCGAAAAGUCAUUAUCUGGAAAGAAGAAAAUGGCACCUGGGAAAAGACCCACGAGCACUCAGGACACGACUCCUCAGUGAACUCUGUGUGCUGGGCCCCCCACCACUACGGCCUGAUCCUGGCCUGUGGGAGCUCGGAUGGGGCCAUCUCCCUGCUGACCUACACUGGGGAAGGCCAGUGGGAAGUGAAGAAGAUCAACAACGCUCACGCUAUUGGCUGCAAUGCUGUCAGCUGGGCCCCUGCUGUUGUACCUGGAAGCCUCAUAGACCAGCCGUCAGGACAGAAACCCAAUUACAUCAAGAAGUUUGCAUCAGGUGGCUGUGACAACCUCAUCAAGCUGUGGAAGGAGGAGCAAAAGCUGGAGGCGCACAGUGACUGGGUCCGAGACGUGGCCUGGGCCCCCUCCAUUGGCCUGCCCACCAGCACCAUCGCCAGCUGUUCCCAGGAUGGUCAUGUGUUCACUUCGACUUAUGAUGAUGCCUCGGGCAACACGUGGUCCCCCAAACUGCUGCACAAGUUCAAUGACGUCGUGUGGCACGUGAGCUGGUCCAUCACGGCCAACAUUCUGGCCGUCUCCGGCGGAGACAACAAGGUGACCCUGUGGAAAGAGUCGGUUGACGGGCACUGGGUGCCCAUCAGUGAUGUCUACAAGGGCCAGGGCUCCGUGUCAGCUUCAGCCACAGAAGGCCAGCAGAACGAGCAGUGACCAGAUGGUUGGGCAUGGCUCCCCCAACUGCCAGCUCCAGGACUGCCCCUUCCUGGGCCAACUGACCAAAGAACUGGGAAGAGCUCCCAACUCCAAGAUUAUUUUCCCAGCAGUGGUUACAAGUGUGACCACAGGUUGAUCAUCUGCCUUAACAUGAUUUGAUAUGGUUUGAUACUGUCCAGCUGAAAGCACUCAUGUUAUGAAGAAACUACAAGUGAUCUUCAAAUCUAUUAUCUUAA